rnacentral:rRNA from 1 species
ACGAACGCUGGCGGCGUGCUUAACACAUGCAAGUCGAACGGAAAGGCCCUGCUUUUGUGGGGUGCUCGAGUGGCGAACGGGUGAGUAACACGUGAGUAACCUGCCCUUGACUUUGGGAUAACUUCAGGAAACUGGGGCUAAUACCGGAUAGGAGCUCCUGCUGCAUGGUGGGGGUUGGAAAGUUUCGGCGGUUGGGGAUGGACUCGCGGCUUAUCAGCUUGUUGGUGGGGUAGUGGCUUACCAAGGCUUUGACGGGUAGCCGGCCUGAGCGGGUGACCGGCCACAUUAGGACUGAGAUACGGCCCAGACUCCUACGGGAGGCAGCAGUGGGAAAUAUUGCACAAUGGGCGGAAGCCUGAUGCAGCAACGCCGCGUGCGGGAUGACGGCCUUCGGGUUGUAAACCGCUUUCGCCUGUGACGAAGAGUGAGUGACGGUACUGGAUAAAGAAGCACCGGCUAACUACGUG